rnacentral:rRNA from 1 species
UACGGGGGGGGCAAGCGUUGUUCGGAAUUACUGGGCGUAAAGCGCGUGUAGGCGGUCCGGUAAGUCCGCUGUGAAAGUCGGGGGCUCAACCCUCGGAUGCCGGUGGAUACUGUCGGGCUUGAGUACGGAAGAGGCGAGUGGAAUUCCUGGUGUAGCGGUGAAAUGCGCAGAUAUCAGGAGGAACACCAAUUGCGAAGGCAGCUCGCUGGGACGUUACUGACGCUGAGACGCGAAAGCGUGGGGAGCAAACAGG